ensembl:lncRNA
AAACCCUGAUGCUGGGAAAGACUGAAGGCAGGAGGAGAAGAGGAUGACAGAGGAUGAGAUGGUUGGAUGGCAUCACCGACUCAAUGGACAUGAGUUUGAGCAAGCUCCAAGAGUUGGUGAUGGACAGGGAAGCCUGGCGUGCUGUAGUCCAUGGGGUUGCAAAGAGUCGGACACAACUGAGCAACUGAACUGAACUGAGCUGGGUGCUGUGAUCUCUGCUUUUUACAGGUGGGAAGGUGUUGCUGAGUGAGUUGAAUGGCUGGCUUCCAGGUCCUGUGGCCAGGUGUCUGAUUCAAGCUUCUUUCUGCUAGUUUUUUUUUUUUUUCUGUAAGAUGGAGUGGGAUUGACAGUAUAAUCUAAAAGUCCAGUGUCCCAGCACAAGGCUAAGAGGAUUCAGAUAUGACUUAGGCUAGGCCUGGCAUGCUGCAGUCCAUGGGGUCGCAAAGAGUCAGACAUGACUGAGCGACCUAACUGAACUGAACUGAGGUUUGGGCACUGAGGCCACCAGAAAUGUGUUUGUCUGAUGAACUAAGGAAUCUGCGGGGAGAGAAGUCACCUGAGGAAGAUGGACUCAGGCAGAUGCACUCAGCCUGACACUGAGCAUGAUACGGGGAAGGGGUCAUCGAGACCACAGCAGGCCCGGGCACAGCUGGGGGCCUCAGCGGUGACUGAGCCAAGGCAAGAGGACCUGAGGGAGACACAGAUGCCUGGAUGGGACGAAGCAAGGAAAUGUUCGGCUGCCCUUGGAAGGGUUUGAUGUCAUCACACCAGGAGCUGGGAUGCUGGAUUGAUGGAGAGGGGCUGGGCUGAGGACCCCUGUGUAGGGAUUUGGCAAGCAAUGGCUUUUAUUCAUUCACUGUGUGACAGGCACUUCAUUAAGACAUAAGAGAAAGAGUCCAUAAAAUAUUAAGGGG